rnacentral:rRNA from 1 species
GUUGGCUUGGAAGCAGCCAUUCAUUUAAAGAGUGCGUAACAGCUCACUAGUCGAGCGAUCUGGCGUGGAUAAUAAUCGGGCAUAAACGAUCUGCCGAAGCCGUGGAUGUCGCAAGACAUGGUAGGGGAGCAUUCCAUGCGGCGUCGAAGAUGAGGGAUGACCCUUGUUGGAGCGCAUGGAAAAGCAAAUGUAGGUAUGAGUAACGAUAAGGGGGGCGAGAAACCCCCCCGCCGAAAGACCAAGGUUUCCUGAUCAACGCUAAUCGGAUCAGGGUGAGUCGGGACCUAAGGCAAAGCCGAACGGCGCCGCCGAUGGAAGAAUGGGUUAAUAUUCCCAUACUGCCUCAUGGAGUGACGUGGAGACGGAGAAGUGACAGUCCUGCCGGCUGACGGAAUAGCCGGUUGAAGGGUGUAGAUAUUGAUUCCCGUAGGCAAAUCCGCGGGGAGAGUCGAACCUGAGAGUAUACGGAGCGCUUGCGCGACGUAAUAUGGACGUAACCAUGCUCCCAAGAAAAUCCGCUAAACUUAUCCAUGCGGCACCCGUACCGUAAACGGACACACGUGGUCGGGUUGAGAAUACUGAGGCGCUCGAGUGAUUCACGGUUAAGGAACUAGGCAAAUUGACCCUGUAACUUCGGGAUAAAGGGUCCUCGUCGUAAGGCGAGGCGCAGAGAAUAGGUCCAGGCAACUGUUUAACAAAAACACAUGGCUGUGCUAAAUGGAAACAUGAUGUAUACAGCCUGACACCUGCCCGGUGCCGGAAGGUUAAGAGGAGAUGUCAUCCGCGAGGAGAAGCGUUGAAUUGAAGCCCCGGUAAACGGCGGCCGUAACUAUAACGGUCCUAAGGUAGCGAAAUUCCUUGUCGGGUAAGUUCCGACCUGCACGAAUGGUGUAAUGAUCUGGACACUGUCUCAACCGUGAGCUCAGUGAAAUUGUAGUAUCGGUGAAGAUGCCGAUUACCCGCGAUGGGACGAAAAGACCCCGUGAACCUUUACUAUAGCUUUACAUUGAGUUUGGGCAGACGAUGUGUAGGAUAGGCCGGAGGCAUUGAAGCAGGUACGCCAGUAUUUGUGGAGCCGACGUUGAAAUACGGCCCUUCGGUUGUUUGAGUUCUAACUCCUAGUUAGGAGGACACUGUAUGGUGGGUAGUUUGACUGGGGUGGUCGCCUCCAAAAGCGUAACGGAGGCUUCUAAAGGUGCCCUCAGACCGAUUGGUAACCGGUCGCAGAGUGUAAUGGCAUAAGGGCGCUUGACUGGGAGACAUACAAGUCGAUCAGGUAGGAAACUAGAGCAUAGUGAUCCGGUGGUUCCGCAUGGAAGGGCCAUCGCUCAAAGGAUAAAAGGUACUCCGGGGAUAACAGGCUGAUC